GCUGAAAUAGCUCAGUUGGAAGAGCAUUAGGCUGGAGAUCUAAAGGUCUCUGAUUCAAUCCCAGGUUUUAGCA